rnacentral:rRNA from 1 species
GGCUCAGGAUGAACGCUAGCUACAGGCUUAACACAUGCAAGUCGAGGGGCAGCAUGAGAUUAGCUUGCUAAUCUUGAUGGCGACCGGCGCACGGGUGCGUAACACGUAUCCAAUCUACCCAUGGCUCGGGGAUAGCCUUUCGAAAGAAAGAUUAAUACCCGAUGGUCUGCGAUUGAGACAUCUCGAUUGCAGUAAAGACUUGUCGGCGAUGGAUGGGGAUGCGUCCGAUUAGCUAGUUGGCGGGGUAACGGCCCACCAAGGCGACGAUCGGUAGGGGUUCUGAGAGGAAGGUCCCCCCACACUGGAACUGAGACACGGUCCAGACUCCUACGGGAGGCAGCAGUGAGGAAUAUUGGUCAAUGGUCGGGAGACUGAACCAGCCAAGUAGCGUGAGGGACGACGGCCCUACGGGUUGUAAACCUCUUUUGUAUGGGAAUAAAGUGAGGCACGUGUGCCUUUUUGUAUGUACCUUACGAUAAGCAUCGGCUAAUUCCGUGCCAGCAGCUGC